AGAGUUUGAUCCUGGCUCAGAUUGAACGCUGGCGGCAUGCCUUACACAUGCAAGUCGAACGGUAACAGGCCGCAAGGUGCUGACGAGUGGCGAACGGGUGAGUAAUGCAUCGGAACGUGCCCAGUAGUGGGGGAUAGCCCGGCGAAAGCCGGAUUAAUACCGCAUACGACCUACGGGUGAAAGCGGGGGACCGAAAGGCCUCGCGCUAUUGGAGCGGCCGAUGUCAGAUUAGGUAGUUGGUGGGGUAAAGGCCUACCAAGCCUACGAUCUGUAGCUGGUCUGAGAGGACGACCAGCCACACUGGGACUGAGACACGGCCCAGACUCCUACGGGAGGCAGCAGUGGGGAAUUUUGGACAAUGGGCGCAAGCCUGAUCCAGCCAUGCCGCGUGCGGGAGAAGGCCUUCGGGUUGUAAACCGCUUUUGUCAGGGAAGAAAUCUUCUGGGUUAAUACCUCGGGAGGAUGACGGUACCUGAAGAAUAAGCACCGGCUAACUACGUGCCAGCAGCCGCGGUAAU
rnacentral:rRNA from 1 species